rnacentral:tRNA from 1 species
GGAGAGGUCGCGUAGUGGCCUAGCGCGCUCGCUUGGAAAGCGAGUAAGGGGCAACCCUUCGCGGGUUCGAAUCCCGCCCUCUCCG